ensembl:lncRNA
GCCCUGCCGAGGCCACAGCCGGCGCCUGUCCUCCCAGGUCGUCUCGAAGGCGAAGAUGAAAGCCACCCGACACGGGCGCCCCGUUUCGCUGCUUUACACAAACAGCCAUCAUCCUUCCCACGCCCAUGCGGAAAUCAGCAAACAGAAACCCGCUCAGAGUGGAGCGGUGAGGCCGGCAGGGGAGACCCAGGGUAGGCACCAGUCCGUCAAUCGCAACAGGAGGAGAGUACUCGCAUUUCUAGAGCAAGUGACACUACUUUGCUAACUCCAGGAGGAGGAGGGAAGAUUACCUUCUCACCCGGCAACAGCUCAGCCAAUGAGAAGCCCCGCAGCUCAGCCAAUGAGAAAUAAUAUAGCUCAGCCAAUGAGAAAUGCUGCAGCUCAGCCAAUGAGAAACACUGCAGCUCAGCCAAUGAGAAGUGCUACAGCUCAGCCAAUGAGAAGCCCCGCAGCUCAGCCAAUGAGAGACUGUCACAACUCAGCCAAUGAAAGGCCACUACACUUCCGACGCCCAUCUUCCUCCAGCGACUCUUCCUGUACGACAGCGCCUCCCACUCCCCUUCUCUGUAGGAGAAGAUCCUCUGCUUUGUUUCCCUGGACCUGCCUGUGGUUCAUAGAUUGUCAACACCGAUACUAAUGAAAAGAUGAAAAAAAAAAAAAAAAAGGUGCUGCCCAUCGUGAUGCAACUGCCCUUCUAUACUUGAGAAAGUCUGCUCACCCCUCCCUGACAGGCCCACCCGGGUCUUGUCGGGAGUGCCAGGAUGCACACUUUAUCCCUUCUCCCUCUAUUGCCUUUGUGACUGUGAAGCUCAUGGGGGAAACUUGCAAACUUUACCACCAAGAACCACGUGAGAUAAAAUGGGAAAGACAAAGAAGAGGAGAAUUCAUUUAUCAUAUGAUAUCUCAGAAAGGAAGAACAUGCAGAUCCAUGCUAGGGUCUUCAUCUCUACAGCUGGACAAGCGGCAGGGGUUGGUAUUUAUGACUUUGCCUGUAGCCAGCCCCUCCGUAGGUUGCAUCUGCACCUAGAACAGUGACCCAAACCAUCAUUCCUGAGGAAUAUGAGCGCUGGGUGAUCCUGCCUGCAUCUGGCUGCUAUAAUCUUCUAUGAGCUGUUACCCUUGGGCGUGGUAGUCCUAGGAGGUGUUUCGGGCAAUCCCCCAGAUUCCAACCAUCUUCCUUCCUGUACCAGCAAUCCUAUGUCCCCUUCAUAAUCUGGGGUUCAGGUCCCUGCUCUUCCACUUGCUGGGUGACUUGGACAGGUUGUUUGAUGUCCCUGUGACUCAGUUUCUUUAUUAGUGUAAUGGGAAUAACAAUGUUGCCAAACAUGUCAUAAGGAGUUUCAUGAGGUCACAGGUGUAGGCUGAAGGUGGGGGAGCAGGGAGGUACGACUACGCCUAUCGGGAGUGUGACCCACCUGCUCGUGCAACUUACCUGUGCUCAAGGUCUUUGAUGGAGGCACUAACUUCUGUGACUUCUCUGGAGAUGAAGUUCUGCUUGUGUCUACUAUUUUGGCAGGGCGGUCGAGCUGUAGGGUUUCACUUAGCCCUUCCUUCUUUCCGUCCAUCCAUUCAUUUGGCAAGUCAGUGCUGAGCACCAGCUAUGUGCUAGGCACUCAGAAUACAGUGGUAGAUAAACAGACGAAAACCUGCCUCCGUGGAGCUUACAGACCAGUGCGUGCAGACAAUGAAAAAGAAAGAGAGACACUAACACAUUAGAAAGUGCUAAGCACUCUGCAGAAAACACCAACGAUAGGGACGAGGAGUGCCAGAUGUGCCCGUCCCCCCAAAAGAGGUAUGUUGACGUCGUAACCCCCAGGAACUCAGAAUGUGACUUUAUUUGGAAAUAGGGUCAUUGCUGACGCAGUUAGUUAAGAUGAGGACAUAAUGCAGGAGGGUGAGCACCUAAUCUGAUAUGACGGGUGUCCCUAUAAAACGGCAGAAAUGUGAGCACAGAGGGAAGACGGUGUGACAACACACAGGGAGAAGACAGCCAUCUACAGCCAUGGAGCCGCCCGGGUCAGAUCCCUCACAAGGAACCAGCCCUGCCAACAGCAAAGAGUUUGGGGCGGAGGACAAGGUUCCCAGGACAAGGGUGGCUGCAUGGCCAAAUCCUAGGAGGCAAAACUGACUGAUCAAUGGCUGACCCAGGACACAAGCCCCUUCUUUUUUGCCGCCUCUGGCCUGACCCUGUCUGUCCCACGGGCCUGCUCACUGCCGCCAGGCGGGCCCCUGCCCACAGUAUGGGGGCAGAUGUUCCGGCCGCUCUCCCUUCCCCUGACAGCCAGUGGAGAUGUGGUCAGUCAGUGGGUCCAGAGCAUUCCCUCACCAUGUCCAGCUGCCCCCCAGGAAGCCUUGGCGUGGGGCGGGCCUCGUGACACACAUUCUCCUGCACUCCGGAGGGCAGAGAACCGUGGGUCCCUCUCACCUCCUGAGCUGGUUCCUGUGCUUGGGACAGUCCCAAGUAAGGCUGAGGGUGAGGGACAGCAGUGCUGGCCAACAGAGGGCCAGCCCAGUCGCAGCAGCCCCACCAUCCCCUCGCCCCAGGGGGUCAGUGUUUGCCUCGUCUCAGAGAAGCCUAGGGGUUUGCUUUGGGGAAGGUGCUGCGGGAAGCCAAACCCCUGGGAGUUGCCGUGAUCAGUGGCCCCCUGCCCCCCUGCCCCCCGCCUUCCUCCCUCCCAGGGCAUCGGCCCUUCCAAGCCUUCAGCAGAUACCACAGAUGCCUUUCUGCAGCCCUGUGCUGGACCAGCUGCCCGACACAUGCUCCUUAACUCAGUCCCCACAUGGUUCCAGGCAGCGAUUAUCAGGUGGGAGACCAAGGCCCCCAGAGGGACGGGGGCUUGUCCAAGGUCCCUCAGCGAGCAGGUGGGGAGCCGAGGAACCCUCUGUUCCAAGCCUGCUGUCUUCCCUGCCUCCCAGAGGAGCUCUCCUCCCUGGGUCUUGAGGAGACACUGGAGGUGGUCACUGGCCAGAGCAGCCUGCAGAGUGGUCACUCCUGUCCAGCAGUGGCAGAAAGGCCGAGCUGCCCCCAGAGACCUCCAGGCUUCAGCCACCCCUCACCACCACCCGCAGAGGCAGGAGAGCCCCGUGUGGUGCAUUUUGCUCUGAGGGGUGGACUUCUGCCAGGGAUCAAUCAGGGCUCAGGGCCACCUAUCAGUAGGGGCGCUAGUAAUCAAUACCACUGAGUCACCUCUGGGUGCUUCCCACCAGCCAGGAGCCAGGCUAAAGCUUCCUGUGCACCACCCAUGGCCCCUCACUGCACCCUCCGGUGAGCGCCCUCAGGGGCCCGUCUUGCAGGUGUGGCGAAGAAACCUGGCCCAGGUAACACCCUGGGAGGCCUUGGGGCCAAGUGCUCGUGCUUCCAGUUUCCUCAUCACUGCGCACUGUCACCCUCCCACUUCACACCUGGCACCCCUCCUCCUCCUCCUCGAAGCCCCCUCCCUGGAACAUGCAGGUGAUUGCAACAACCCCCGAUGAACACUUUGACCAGCCAAGGUCCACUGAGAACCAGGGACAACCAGUGCCUCUGCUCCCAGAAUGCCAGCUUGUGUAUUUAACUGAGGGCUGCUGGCACCUGGAGGAGACUGGAACCUUUUAAGUUAACAACUUCUUGUAUUUUCCUUGCUGUCCAGAGGGUCAUCACUGUGCUAAGUUCAGAUGCUGUGCCAGCACCGCCUCCCCCCAUCCUCCCUUCCCCCCACCCCCAACACAUUGGCUGUCACUUUAAGACUUAUGUGUAUAAACUUAACCAUUAGAAAAAAACGAAUUGAGAUUUUGGUGGGAGGUUGUAUUAGUUUCUUAGGGCUGCUGUAACAAAUGACCACAAACUGGGGGAGGCUGAAAUCAACAGAAAUGUGUUCUCUUGCAGUUCUGGAGCGAGGAGUCUGAAAUCAAGGUUUCAGCGGGUCUUAGGGGUGGAUCCUUGCGUCUUCCAGCUCCUGGUGGCGAUGGCGCUCCUUGGCUUGUAGACGCAUCCCUCCAACCUCUGCCUCCGUCUUCACGUGGCAUUCUCCCUGCGUGUGUUCUGUCUCUGUGUCCAAACGUCCCUCUUUCUAUAAGGACACUAGUCAUCGGAUCAGGGUCCACCCUAAUGACCUCAUCUUACCUUGAUUACAUCUGCGAAUACUUUAUUUCCAAAUAAGGCCACACUCACAG